rnacentral:rRNA from 1 species
UACGGAGGGAGCAAGCGUUACUCGGAAUUAUUGGGCGUAAAGGGCGCGUAGGCGAUUCGAUAAGUCUCGUGUGAAAGCCCCCGGCUCAACUGGGGAGGGUCACGCGAUACUGUUCGACUCGAAGGCAGGAGAGGGAAGUGGAAUUCCCGGUGUAGUGGUGAAAUGCGUAGAUAUCGGGAGGAACACCAGUGGCGAAGGCGACUUCCUGGCCUGUUCUUGACGCUGAGGCGCGAAAGCUAGGGUAGCAAACGGGG